rnacentral:lncRNA from 1 species
CAGGAAGGGCCUCUCUUUCCCCUUCGCCUCCUCCAGCAGCAGGAUGUGAUCCACCAACAAAGAGGGAAGCCAAUAAGCUUCGCAGAGCCCAGAAUGCCUUAUUUCUGUGAAUUUUCCCUAUCAUGGUGUGAGGACAGAACAAUGACUCCCAGACAUGUGUGCCGAGUCACAGAGACCCGGAGGAAGAAGGAGGCCUCCACAGUGUGUACAAAUGAUGGCACUCACCCACAACCUUACCCAGUCCCUUGCUUCUUGAAGCUUAUGUAGCCCUGGAGGGAAAGCCAAGCUUUGGAAACUGUCCUGGAAGACUGAGACCUAGAUCCCAUUACUGGCCCCCAUGCUCUUGACUCAGAUGGCAGGCCCUAG